UACGGGGGGAGCAAGCGUUGUUCGGAUUUACUGGGCGUAAAGGGCGCGUAGGCGGUCAGCACAAGUCAGUUGUGAAAUCUCCGGGCUUAACUCGGAAAGGUCAACUGAUACUGUGCGACUAGAGUGCGGAAGGGGCAACUGGAAUUCUCGGUGUAGCGGUGAAAUGCGUAGAUAUCGAGAGGAACACCUGCGGCGAAGGCGGGUUGCUGGGCCGACACUGACGCUGAGACGCGAAAGCGUGGGUAGCAAACAGG
rnacentral:rRNA from 1 species